rnacentral:rRNA from 1 species
UACGUAGGGGGCAAGCGUUGUCCGGAAUCAUUGGGCGUAAAGAGCGUGUAGGCGGUCCGGUCAGUCGGUUGUGAAAGUCAAGGGCUCAACCCUUGAAUGCCGGCCGAUACUGCCGGGCUAGAGUGCGGAAGGGGCAACUGGAAUUCCCAGUGUAGCGGUGAAAUGCGUAGAUAUUGGGAAGAACACCUGAGGCGAAGGCGGGUUGCUGGGCCGACACUGACGCUGAGGCGCGAAAGCCAGGGGAGCAAACGGG